CGUGGCUUGUUUGGUAGAGAUGUUAAGUCAAUUAAAAUCAAUUUUUUAACCGUUAUUUUACUAUUCCAGACGUCAUUUUUGAAUUUUUCUCUCACAGAUAGAACCCACUUUAUCUAUAAUGGUCAAAAAAUCAAUUAAUAAAAUCUCCACCAAACAAGCUCAUAGUAUUUUGCAUCUACUUCUGUAGAAAAGAAUUACUCUUUAAUUAUAUGGAUAUGAGAUAUCUAUACUGUUUUUUUAGAGUAUGGAGAUUCUGAUGAAGGAUCCAUCUGAAAUCUUCAACCAAAAUAAAAAAGGGAAAGACUUCUGAGGCUCAAGCUCGCAUUUGACAUGAUUUGGAAAGCAGUAAAUUUAGAGUGUCGGAUGAUUAGUUGUUAGUUUUCUUUUCAGUCCUAACUUAGGUUUCCCUACAAUUUUAUUCCUUUCUAUUCCAGUUUCACAGGUUUUAAUACAGUCAGUUGAAUAAAGGGUAUUAGAGUUUCAAAAUCACAUUCUAUAGUAAAAAUUUGAGGCAGAUUGUUUUAAGCCUUGAUAUGUUUGUAAGUCAUAUCUGGAGCAAUAAGUUAGUUUUAUUUAGGACUGGUCACCUGUUUUUAAAGUAGUCUCCGAGUUGAAGUAGAAAUUUUUUGAGACUCUGUAAUGCUAGCUACUCCUAUAUGUGAUGUCUAAGGGAUCAUAUGUUCCUUAGUUGUCUUCCAUAAUUAUUCUUCUUAAAUUUCAGCGCGCUUAAUUAUUUCCCACAUCUUUAAACCAAUUUGUUCAGUGCACAACAUAAAAAAUAUUCAAAUCCAGUCUAUUUUCCAUUUAGAAACCUGACUAAACAGGGUUUUGAUUCCUUUGGGUUAAAGGAAAUGUUUGUGUGAUAUUUUAGAAGUACUCAUCAACUCCGAGAAACCUUAACCUUACAUCUCUUAUUUUGCUAAAUCGAGCCUUCUACACUCUACAUCAGGCCUUGAAUUCUACAGUUUCGUUAGAUUUUUUCUUAGCACGUAAUGCUCUUAUGGCAUAGAUUUCGUUAAUAGAUAGACCAAGUAAAUGGUAUGGUUGGUAAUGGCCGACCAUCACACUCGGCGAUCAGCAAAAUAUUCUACCUGCACUAGAUGCCCAAGGAUUCCAAAACUGAACCAAUCAAUUCAAUAUGUGGCAUACGAUCUAAAAGACUUGACCAAUCACUGUUGAAUUUUAAGCAAUGACCUGAAUCUGCCGUUCUAAAAUCCGGGAAAUCAACAACAGAUACUAACCAACAUAAAUACAACGUGCUUUGACAACCAAAUGGAAAUAGAUAAAAGCAACAAAAACGAAAAAUCAUAACAUCAUCAGCAAGUGAAACCUUUCUGAUCUUUAACAUUUUAGUAUCGAACGCUGGAAACUCCCGUAAUAUCAAUCCCUGCUUUUAUUUUCCUUUCAUUCUUAAUUAGCUUUCACAGUUUACUUGCCCCUAACCUAUGCCUCCCCCAAAAUACUCCUUUUUAAAACGGAGAAUGGAUUAUGGAAGAAAAACUCAAUCAACGAAUUGAAUACGGGAAUUAAAUUGAUAGGAAUAUUAAUCGGUUAUGUUUCACUGUACAAGAGUUUUAC
rnacentral:lncRNA from 1 species